UUCUGAACACAUACACAAGUGGGGGUGUGGGUGGAGGGGGGGCUGUUCCACAGGAGAAAAUGAGAGCCUGGGUGUGGCUGCCAGGAACACGAGAAGAGUCUGAGGAGUCUGAGGGUCUGAGUAAGGAGGGAC